UACGUAGGUGGCAAGCGUUGUCCGGAUUUACUGGGCGUAAAGGGAGCGUAGGCGGAUUUUUAAGUGAGAUGUGAAAUACCCGGGCUUAACUUGGGUGCUGCAUUUCAAACUGGAAGUCUAGAGUGCAGGAGAGGAGAAUGGAAUUCCUAGUGUAGCGGUGAAAUGCGUAGAGAUUAGGAAGAACACCAGUGGCGAAGGCGGCUUUCUGGACUGUAACUGACACUGAGGCAUGAAAGCGUGGGGAGCAAACAGGAUUAGAUACCCCCGUAGUCCU
rnacentral:rRNA from 1 species